UACGAAGGGAGCUAGCGUUGUUCGGAAUUACUGGGCGUAAGGGCGCGUAGGCGGCUUCGAUAGUCGGGCGUGAAAUGCCUGGGCUCAACCCAGGAAUUGCGCUCGAUACUGCGAGGCUUGAGUGUGGGAGAGGAUGGUGGAAUUCCCAGUGUAGAGGUGAAAUUCGUAGAUAUUGGGAAGAACACCAGCGGCGAAGGCGGCCAUCUGGACCACAACUGACGCUGAGGCGCGAAAGCGUGGGGAGCAAACAGG
rnacentral:rRNA from 1 species